CCUAAUUCUUCAAAUCCCUUCCCUCUCAUAAACCUUAAUUCUACAUUUCUACUCUUCUCCUCUCUUUCUCUCCAAAACCCUUGACCCAACCAUGUACCUUUACAGUCUUACGCUGCAACGAGCGACCGGCAUCGUCUCCGCAAUCAACGGCAGUUUUUCCGGCGGCAAGACCCAAGAAAUUGUAGUAGCUCGUGGAAAGGUACUUGAUCUACUCCGCCC
rnacentral:misc_RNA from 1 species